CUGGCUCAGGACGAACGCUGGCGGCGUGCUUAACACAUGCAAGUCGAACGAGAAGAGAUGAGAAGCUUGCUUCUUAUCGAUUCGAGUGGCAAACGGGUGAGUAACGCGUAAGCAACCUGCCCUUCAGAUGGGGACAACAGCUGGAAACGGCUGCUAAUACCG
rnacentral:rRNA from 1 species